rnacentral:rRNA from 1 species
AGUGUAGGCGGUCAAGCAAGUCAGGGGUGAAAGACAUCGGCUCAACCGAUGUAAGCCUUUGAAACUGUUUGACUUGAGUGCAGGAGAGGUAAGUGGAAUUCCUAGUGUAGCGGUGAAAUGCGUAGAUAUUAGGAGGAACACCAGUAGCGAAGGCGACUUACUGGACUGUAACUGACGCUGAGGCUCGAAAGCGUGGGGAGCGAACA